rnacentral:rRNA from 1 species
CGGACGGGUGAGUAACGCGUGAGAAUUUGCCUUUAGGAGGGGGACAACAGUUGGAAACGGCUGCUAAUACCCCAUAUGCUUUCGAGUGAAAUGGAUUUUUCCGCCUAAAGAGAAGCUUGCGGCUGAUUAGCUUGUUGGUAAGGUAAUGGCUUACCAAGGCGACGAUCAGUAUCUGGUUUGAGAGGAUGAUCAGACACACUGGAACUGAGACACGGUCCAGACUCCUACGGGAGGCAGCAGUGGGGAAUUUUCCGCAAUGGGCGAAAGCCUGACGGAGCAAUCUCGCGUGAGGGAUGAAUGCCUAUGGGUUGUAAACCUCUUUUUUCAGGGAGGAAUAAGUGACGUGUACCUGAAGAAUAAGCAUCGGCUAACUCCGUGCCAGCAGCCGCGGUAAGACGGAGGAUGCAAGUGUUAUCCGGAAUCACUGGGCGUAAAGCGUCUGUAGGUGGUUUAAUAAGUCAACUGUUAAAUCUUGAAGCUCAACUUCAAAAUCGCAGUCGAAACUAUUAGACUUGAGUAUAGUAGGGGUAAAGGGAAUUUCCAGUGGAGCGGUGAAAUGCGUAGAGAUUGGAAAGAACACCGAUGGCGAAGGCACUUUACUGGGCUAUUACUGACACUCAGAGACGAAAGCUAGGGUAGCAAAUGGGAUUAGAUACCCCAGUAGUC